rnacentral:rRNA from 1 species
AGAGUUUGAUCAUGGCUCAGGAUGAACGCUGGCGGUAUGCCUAACACAUGCAAGUCGAACGAUGUCUUCGGACAUAGUGGCGGACGGGUGAGUAACGCGUGAGAAUCUGCCUCUAGGAUGGGGAUAACGGUUGGAAACGACCGCUAACACCCAAUAUGCCGUAAGGUGAAAAAUUUAUUGCCUGGAGAGGAGCUCGCGUCUGAUUAGCUAGUUGGUGGGGUAAGAGCUCACCAAGGCUUCGAUCAGUAGCUGGUCUGAGAGGAUGAGCAGCCACACUGGGACUGAGACACGGCCCAGACUCCUACGGGAGGCAGCAGUGGGGAAUUUUCCGCAAUGGGCGAAAGCCUGACGGAGCAAUACCGCGUGAGGGAGGAAUGCCUUUGGGUUGUAAACCUCUUUUCUCAGGGAAGAAGAUCUGACGGUACCUGAGGAAUAAGUAUCGGCUAACUCCGUGCCAGCAGCCGCGGUAAUACGGAGGAUGCAAGCGUUAUCCGGAAUCAUUGGGCGUAAAGCGUCCGCAGGUGGUUUCCAAAGUCUGCUGUUAAAGACUGGAGCUCAACUCCGGAACGGCGGUGGAAACUUGGAAACUAGAGUUCGGUAGGGGUAGCAGGAAUUCCCAGUGUAGCGGUGAAAUGCGUAGAUAUUGGGAAGAACAUCGGUGGCGAAGGCGUGCUACUGGACCGUAACUGACACUCAGGGACGAAAGCUAGGGGAGCGAAAGGGAUUAGAUACCCCUGUAGUCCUAGCUGUAAACGAUGGAAACUAGGUGUGGCUUGUAUCGACCCGAGCCGUGCCGUAGCU